GACGAACGCUGGCGGCGUGCUUAACACAUGCAAGUCGAACGGAAAGGCCCUGCUUUUGUGGGGUGCUCGAGUGGCGAACGGGUGAGUAACACGUGAGUAACCUGCCCUUGACUUUGGGACAACUUCAGGAAACUGGUGCUAAUACCGGAGAGGAGCUCCUGCAGCAGGGUGGGGGUUGGAACGUUUCGGCGGUUGGGGAUGGACUGGCGGCUUAUCAGCUUGUUGGGGGGGGAGCGGCUUACCCAGGCUUUGGCGGCUGGGCGGCCUGAGAGGGUAACCGGCCACCAUGGGCCUGAGGUAGGGCCCAGACUCGUACGGGGGGCAGCAGUGGGGAAUAUUGCACAAUGGGCGGAAGCCUGAUGCAGAAACGCCGGGUGCGGGAUGACGGCCUUCGGGUUGUAAACCGCAUUCGCCUGUGACGAAGCGUGAGUGACGGUAAUGGGUGAAGAAGCACCGGCUAACUACGUG
rnacentral:rRNA from 1 species